UACGGAGGAGGCAAGCGUUAUCCGGAAUUAUUGGGCGUAAAGCGUCCGUAGGUGGCUAGUCAAGUCUGCGGUCAAAGACUGGGGCUUAACCCUGGAAAGGCCGUGGAAACUGACGAGCUAGAGUGCAGUAGGGGUAGAGGGAAUUCCCGGUGUAGCGGUGAAAUGCGUAGAGCUCGGGAAGAACAUCGGUGGCGAAAGCGCUCUACUGGACUGCAACUGACACUCAGGGGCGAAAGCUAGGGGAGCGAAUGGG
rnacentral:rRNA from 1 species